CGCCUAGCUUUAAGCUCGCAGC
rnacentral:misc_RNA from 1 species